GGUCGGCCAGGUGAUGUCACCUUCCUGUACUUCUGGGACCGUCCCUGGAUGGAGGCCCAAAGGCUCCAAAUGGGAGCCUUUAAAGAAGGGCCUUGGGGAGCGGGUGCCGUGUGCUCCUGGAGAGUGCGGGGGCACCAAGUGGACUCUCCUGCGGGAGCUCUCUCUAAAUGCACCUGCCUUCCUGCCAUACAGGACCCCUCCACCCCACUGGCUGCAGAGCAACUCACUGGCCCAGGAGCCUGGCCUGCCCGACCCCUGGACGAGGCUGCCUUAUUUGACAAAAUUGGCCCCUUCUGCACCAUGUGUCAUUACUGCUGGAACAAGGAGGGCUCAAUCCACCUAAAGAAAUGACCGACCGCUAAGAUGAUGCGACCCAGAAGUCUCUG
rnacentral:lncRNA from 1 species